GCAAAAGAGUGGGAAGAUCUUUGAGUAGAGGUGACAGACCUACCGAGCUCAGUUAUAGCUGGUUGCCUACAAAAAGAAUAGAAGUUCAGCCUUUACACUUCUUCUCUCAAAACUGCAUAUACUAAUAAGUGACACAAAGAAGUUAAAAGAGUUAUUCAAGGGGGGAACAGCCCCCUUGAAAAAAGAUACAACUUUAUUUAGAAGGCUAAAGAUUAAAAUACCCCAGGCAAAUAUACCUUGGUGGGCCUAAAAGCAGCCAUCCAUAUAGAAAGCGUUAAAGCUCAAGUACUUUGCCCCUCCCUAAUUUCAAUAAUUCAAUCUUAAGCCCCUUAAUUAAUAGUAGGCCUUUUCAUGCACCCAUGAAAGAGAUACUGCUGAGAUGAGUAAUAAGAGGACCGCUCCUCUCCCCAACACUUGUAUAAUUCAGAACGAACCCCCACUGAAAAUUAACGCCCCCAACUAAAAGAGGGGCCUGGGAAAGCCCAAAAUAAACUAGAAGCUCACCCAACAAUUAGCGUUAACCCUACACAGGUGUGUUUUAAGGAAAGACUAAAAGAAAAAGAAGGAACUCGGCAAACACUGGCCUCGCCUGUUUACCAAAAACAUCGCCUCUUGCAACAAACGUAUAAGAGGUCCCGCCUGCCCUGUGACUUACUAGUUUAACGGCCGCGGUAUUUUGACCGUGCGAAGGUAGCGUAAUCACUUGUCUUUUAAAUGGAGACCUGUAUGAAUGGCACAACGAGGGCUAAGCUGUCUCCUUUUUCCAGUCAAUGAAAUUGAUUUUCCCGUGCAGAAGCGGGAAUAUAAACAUAAGACGAGAAGACCCUAUGGAGCUUAAGACACAAGGCAGCCCAUGUAAAACACCUGGCUCAACAGAAUUAACCAAGUGGCCCCUGCCCUUUUGUCUUUGGUUGGGGCGACCGCGGGGAAACAAAAAUCCCCCACGUGGAAUGGGGCCAACCCCCCUAAAGCCAGAGCCACAGCUCUAGCUAGCAGAACAUCUGACCUACAAGAUCCGGCAAAGCCGAUCAACGGACCGAGUUACCCUAGGGAUAACAGCGCAAUCCCCUUUUAGAGCCCAUAUCGACAAGGGGGUUUACGACCUCGAUGUUGGAUCAGGACAUCCUAAUGGUGCAGCCGCUA
rnacentral:rRNA from 1 species